CAAUAGCGUAUAUUAAAGUUGUUGCAGUUAGAACGCUCGUAGUCGGAUUUCGGGGCGGGUCGACCGGUCUGCCGAUGGGUACGCACUGGCCGACGCGUCCUUUUUGCCGGAGACCGUCCCUACUCUUAACUGAGCGGGGUCGGGAGACGGCACUUUUACUUUGAAAAAAUCAGAGUGUUUCAAGCAGGCAGCUCGCUCUUGCAUGGAUUAGCAUGGGAUAAUGAAAUAGGACUUUGGUGCUAUUUUGUUGGUUUCGAACACCGAAGUAAUGAUGAGAAGGGACAGUCAGGGGCACUCGUAUUCCGCAGAGAGAGGUGAAAUUCUCAGACCCGCGGAAGACGAACCACUGCGAAAGCAUUUGCCAGGGAUGUUUUCACUGA
rnacentral:rRNA from 1 species